rnacentral:tRNA from 1 species
GGGGCCUUAGCUCAGUGGUAGAGCGUGUGAUUCCAGUUUUCGGAUGUCCACAAGGUCGUGCGUUCAACUCGCUCAGGCCUCA